GCGACGCCUUCUUGUUGCACUCCCGCCAAAUCUUCCUCUGCCACCGCUGCUGCUACUGCAUCUGAAGUUUUGACCCACCACAGGAUCCGAUCAUAAAGAGAGCAGCUACCAUGUCGUCCCUGAUCUGCCCUGUUAAGUCCCUCAAUGUCAAUGAUCCUCCUCCACCUAACCCCACUUCUGCUAAAAAAAGCAGUUAACCCUGGGAAGGGAGUCCAAACUUCAACACUGGGAGUUGUGUGGCAACUGUCAGGGCAGCUGGAGCAACUCCUGAGGUUAAUUGCAGCUAUGUUUAUCUUGAAUUGCGGCUUAUAAUUUGGUAAAUUGCAUUUACCAUCUCGAGGUAUCUUCAAAUUUCACAAACACCUUUCUGUUUUGAAAAAUACACAGAAAGCACAAAAUAACUUUUGAUUACCUGUUUUGUUGGUUUAUAGGUAGUAGGUUAAUGUUAAAUAGCAGUAAUAGCUUACUGGUGGAUUUCUGUGUACUUCAUAUUUUUCAAGAUAGAUGCCAUUUUAGCGAAAUUUGAAGAUACCUGUCGCUGGUAUUUGUAAUUUGCUCAUUGUGAUUUAGAAAUUUAUCAACGGAAGAAAUGAAGUGAUUACUCUAUUUUCAGGUAAGACCCUUAUGAUUUAGAAAAUGGCUAUACUCGUCCAGUUGAAGGAAUCCAUAUUCUCAUUGAUAUGAAAAAUAUGGUGGUGAUUGAAUUUGAUGACUGUAAACUUGUUCCUCUACCACCAGCUGAUCCCUUAAGAAAUUACACUGCUGGUGAAUCUCGAGGAGGUGUUGAUAGAAGUGAUUUGAAACCUCUACAGUUCAUUCAGCCUGAAGGUCCUAGCUUUUGUGUGUCCAAGCUUUUGUGUUGAUGGACACUUUGUUCAGUAGCAGAAGGUGCUUGCUUCUUUAUGGAAGUGCAUCACUAAAUGGUGUCUAUGUUAAUGUGUUAUGCUUAUCAUUGAUUUCUUUUUGCCUGGCAGUGGAAUUUUCGUGUUGGUUUCACUCCCAGAGCAGUUUAGUUAUCUAUUCUGUUGUAUAUAAUGGCAAUUGAGGUAGGAGAUCUGUGGCCCACAUAUUAAGUUUUGUUGAGAUGGUGGUUGGGUAAAAAUGCACAUUCUCUUAAAAAGGUGAAGCGCUUUUUUUUUUGGUUACAUAAUCAUGUGUAUCUUCCUGUCUAAUUGACUUGAAGAUACUGAGUAAUUACAUAACUGUUAUGCUGCAAAAUUGUGAUUGUUUUGUCUUCAUCAAGUACUUUGAUGCGCGGUUUACAAAUUUCACCGGAGGUGUUGAAACAAAUGAGAACUGUUUUCGUUUACAUUAAGAGGAUGAUGGAAUUUUAUGGAAGCAUUAGGAUUGAAGAACAGGAUUAGCAGAAGUCUGACGUUCUAGAAGGCUGUCAGUUUUCUUAUAUGCACCGUGGCUAAUUAUGUGUAUGGAUUUCUUCUGACAUUUUUAUCAGUCAAGUCAGUGUCUGACUUGAAUUCCUCUGGGGUUUCUCUGUUCUGCUUUGUUUAUAUAAAUUGGCUUGAUGGCUUAAUAUCUUUCCUAAUCAAUUAAUUUCUUUUCUUAAAUUUAUGCAAAGCUUUCUGAGUGCAGAAACAAGGCUUAGCUUAGCUGCCCUCUUGAUAGCAAAAUGAGGUCAUUGAGUGAGGAACAUUUCUAUAGUUUCCUUUGCUAGAUGUUAACUCUUUUACCAGUUGCUAUCUCUUUAGCUUUUUGUGUGAAGUUGUAAGGAAGAUUUCUUUUUAAUAUCUUCAAGCUAGUUAUUCUCUCUGUUUUAGGAUGGGAAAAUUGAAGCUUAAGUUAAACUCACUGGAAUUCUUAGCUUAGGAGCACUGCAAUCUGGGGAAGUAAGAAAAUAUCGUACAACCGUUGCUUCUGGAUUAUAUGCACUGGUCCGUCAACACUUUUUUGUGGCACAUACGGUUUUAUCAUUAGGCUUUAUUGUCAACAUGCUUUUUCCUUCUUUUCCUCUUUUUCAUGACUAGCUUUCCUAUUUCUCUGUAGUCCUAUAACCUUAUUUUUGUUCACACACAUACACUCACUCACCCUUAUGUAAAUACCAGUUUGAACUGUAGUUUAAUGUAUUGCUCAAGAUGGACCCUGUUUAUGGUGCUUCUCAAUGAAUUUUCUCUUAAACUGGUUUGAAAUCAUCUGGAGACCUUAAUGAAUUGUCUCUUAAGCUGGUUUGAGAGGGAUAAUGCCCUGUUGCUGUAGGGUAAAUUCAAGGUAAUCUUGCGGCCAUUAGAUUGUAGCCCAUGUUUACUGUUGGUUAAUGGAGUUUGCUGAAUGAAUGAACUUUCAGUUUGAGUUGAUGUUCUGAUCCAUUGGAAGGUCUAUUGAUUCUCUUUAGAAGAUGGGAUAGAAUAAGAUGGUCCUCUACUUUGGUGCUGGCAAUAAUUGUUCAGAUUGUUGUUGUUUUUUCAUAUUGUUCUCUUGAAACACUUGUGAUUAGGUUUCAGACUUUCUACCCUUUAAUAUGUUAUUCUAUCUCCAUUAUACAGAUCAAACAUUAUGUUUGCUAUCGUGAUUAGGUUUCUGACCUUCUACUCUUUGAUAUAUCAUUCUAUCUACAGAUCAAAACAUAAUUUUUUUCCUAUUCUCUUGAUAUGUUAAUGGAGUUCCUGGAAUGUGAGCUGUGUAGGUUGCAUAAUUGGUUUGUUUGAAUUUGCCUUUUCACAUUUCUUUUCCCUUUUGGGAUAAAUUACCAUAUCUAAUCUGCAUUACCAAUUUUGUAAUUCAGAUCAGAAACACAAGAACCGUUAAUCGGACUGGGCAGCUUACACGGUACAAUUACAAAUUAGUACCUGGUUCAAAUUGUCUACCUUUGGCUGGUUCAGAGGCAAAAUUCUUAAGAAGAACUGCUUUCUUGAAACAUAAUCUGUGGGUAGUGCCUCAUGCUCAUAUGAUGAAAUGUAUCCUGGAGGAUAGUUUCCCAAUCAAAAUCCUCUUGAAGGAGGGCGAUUGGCUACUUGGGUGAAGCAAAAUUGCUAAUAUAGUUCCAUAGAAUGUAUCUGGAGUGACACACAUUCCCUGAUUGGAAGACUGACCUGUCAUGACAGUGGAACGCAUUGUUUUUAUGCCAAUGGUACAGGACUCGUAAUUAAAGCCGGGAUUCUUAGAGUCACACCACAAUAAUCAAAUGGCAAACAAAUGAAUGAUGACCAUUUGAGGUGCAAUUAAUGCAGUAAUAGUAGAGUUACAAUUGUGUUAUUCUUUACCCUAUUUGUGACGCAGCCACACAGAUUCUUUAACUGCGUACCAGCAAUGGAUGUUCCCCCAAGUUCAAGUGAUUUGGAUGUCAAGGACAAUGGAAUGACAGCAAAUCCUAUCCAGAAUGGACUAUGGCCAUUGGCUCAACUUCCAGCAACAUGCUACUUGAUUAGUAUGAUGUAUCAUAUUAUUUGGAAUGUCACCUUUGUUAUGAUGGUCACAUAUAUGUUCAAAAUGUCUAUCAUGGUGUGGUAGCUUUUGCCUUGAUAAUGUAGUUUUGUCUUGUCAUAGGCACAUGAUACCUUUUGAGUUGUCAUGUCAUGUGUUCCUUGCCCACAUGCUCCAUGUACGAAGUGAAUGCAUUCUGCUGCUGCAGGUCAAGUCGGUAAUGGAGAUUGUUUAUAUAAGA